GAAAUGCGAUACGUAAUGCGAAUUGCAGAAUUCAGUGAAUCAUCGAAUUUUUGAACGCAAAUUGCGCUUUCGGGAUAGGCCUGAAAGCAUGUUUCUUUGAGCCUCGUGUCUAAACUACCUCGGCUGCGUGCCGGAAAAUGAAAGUCCUGUUUGUACUAACAGGUCUUUUUAAGUAAUUGAAGUGCGUGACUAUGGUCAGCCUCGCAAGACUCUCUUUUGCGAACGGCGCGAUUAACAAGCCUUAAAACAGCUUUUUCUCGUCGUUGUACGAUUGGGAAUUUUACGUGUUUGCUAUUGUCAACUGCGCUUGAACGGAAACACAAUUUUGACUUAGAGCUCAAAUGAAGCAAGAUAACCCGCUGAACUUAA
rnacentral:misc_RNA from 1 species